rnacentral:rRNA from 1 species
GAUUGAACGCUGGCGGCAUGCUUUACACAUGCAAGUCGAACGGCAGCGCGGGCUUCGGCCUGGCGGCGAGUGGCGAACGGGUGAGUAAUGCAUCGGAACGUGCCCAGUAGUGGGGGAUAGCCCGGCGAAAGCCGGAUUAAUACCGCAUACGACCUGAGGGUGAAAGCGGGGGACCGAAAGGCCUCGCGCUAUUGGAGCGGCCGAUGUCGGAUUAGCUAGUUGGUGGGGUAAAGGCUUACCAAGGCGACGAUCCGUAGCUGGUCUGAGAGGACGACCAGCCACACUGGGACUGAGACACGGCCCAGACUCCUACGGGAGGCAGCAGUGGGGAAUUUUGGACAAUGGGGGCAACCCUGAUCCAGCCAUGCCGCGUGCGGGAAGAAGGCCUUCGGGUUGUAAACCGCUUUUGUUCGGGAAGAAAUCCUCUGGGCUAAUACCCCGGGGGAUGACGGUACCGGAAGAAUAAGCACCGGCUAACUACGUG